rnacentral:rRNA from 1 species
GGUUGACCUCGGAUCAGGUAGGGAUACCCGCUGAACUUAAGCAUAUCAAUAAGCGGAGGAAAAGAAACCAACAGGGAUUGCCCCAGUAACGGCGAGUGAAGCGGCAAGAGCUCAAAUUUGAAAGCUGGCUCCUUCGGGGUCCGCAUUGUAAUUUGCAGAGGAUGCUUCGGGAGCGGUCCCCAUCUAAGUGCCCUGGAACGGGACGUCAUAGAGGGUGAGAAUCCCGUAUGGGAUGGGGUGUCCGCGCCCAUGUGAAGCUCCUUCGACGAGUCGAGUUGUUUGGGAAUGCAGCUCUAAAUGGGUGGUAAAUUUCAUCUAAAGCUAAAUAUUGGCCGGAGACCGAUAGCGCACAAGUAGAGUGAUCGAAAGAUGAAAAGCACUUUGAAAAGAGAGUUAAAAAGCACGUGAAAUUGUUGAAAGGGAAGCGCUUGCGACCAGACUCGCUCGUGGGGUUCAGCCGGCAUUCGUGCCGGUGUACUUCCCCGCGAGCGGGCCAGCGUCGGUUUGGGCGGUCAGUCAAAGGCCUCUGGAAGGUAACGCCCCCUCGGGGGCGUCUUAUAGCCAGGGGUGCAAUGUGGCCUGCCCGGACCGAGGAACGCGCUUCGGCUCGGACGCUGGCAUAAUGGUCGUAAGCGACC